rnacentral:rRNA from 1 species
UGUACACACCGCCCGUCGCUACUACCGAUUGAAUGGCUUAGUGAGGUCUUGGGAUUGGCUUCGGGGAGCCGGCAACGGCACCCUGUCGCUGAGAACUUGAUCAAACUUGGUCAUUUAGAGGAAGUAAAAGUCGUAACAAGGUUUCCGUAGGUGAACCUGCGGAAGGAUCAUUAUCGAGUUCUGAAACGGGUUGUAGCUGGCCUUCCGAGGCAUGUGCACGCCCUGCUCAUCCACUCUACACCUGUGCACUUACUGUGGGUUUCAGGAGCUUCGAAGCGAGGGUUUAAUCGCUCUCGCCGAGUUGUUACUGGGCCUACGUUUAUCACAAACUCUCAAAGUAUCAGAAUGUAAACGCGUCUAACGCAUCUAUAUACAACUUUCAGCAACGGAUCUCUUGGCUCUCGCAUCGAUGAAGAACGCAGCGAAAUGCGAUAAGUAAUGUGAAUUGCAGAAUUCAGUGAAUCAUCGAAUCUUUGAACGCACCUUGCGCUCCUUGGUAUUCCGAGGAGCAUGCCUGUUUGAGUGUCAUGAAAUUCUCAACCUAACAAGUUCUUAACGGGACUUGCGUAGGCUUGGACUUGGAGGCUUGUCGGCUCUAGCAGUCGGCUCCUCUCAAAUGCAUUAGCUUGGUUCCUUGCGGAUCGGCUCACGGUGUGAUAAUUAUCUGCGCCGCGACCGUUGAAGCGUUUAAUGGCCAGCUUCUAAUCGUCUCUUGCGAGACAGCUUUCAUCGAACUCUGACCUCAAAUCAGGUAGGACUACCCGCUGAACUUAAGCAUAUCAAUAAGCGGAGGAAAAGAAACUAACAAGGAUUCCCCUAGUAACUGCGAGUGAAGCGGGAAAAGCUCAAAUUUAAAAUCUGGCGGUCUUUGGCCGUCCGAGUUGUAGUCUGGAGAAGUGCUUUCCGCGCUGGACCGUGUAUAAGUCUCUUGGAACAGAGCGUCAUAGAGGGUGAGAAUCCCGUCUUUGACACGGACUACCAGUGCUUUGUGAUGCGCUCUCAAAGAGUCGAGUGU